CCUACGGGGGGCAGCAGUGAGGAAUAUUGGUCAAUGGGCGAGAUCCUGAACCAGCCAAGCCGCGUGAGGGAAGACGGCCCUAUGGUUUGUAAACCUCUUUUGUCGGAGAACAAAACCCGGGACGUGUCCCGGACUGCGUUUACCCGAAGAAAAAGCAUCGGCUAACUCCGUGCCAGCAGCCACGGUAAUACGGAGGAUGCGAGCGUUAUCCGGAUUUAUUGUGUUUAAGGGGGGGGUAGGCGGUCCGUUAAGUCAGCGGUAAAAUUGCGGGGCUCAACCCCGUCGAGCCGUUGAAACUGGUAGACUUGAGUGGGCGAGAGGUAAGCGGAAUGCGAGGUGUAGCGGUGAAAUGCAUAGAUAUCGCGCAGAACUCCGAUUGCGAAGGCAGCGUACCGGCGCCAGACUGACGCUGAGGCACGAAAGCGUGGGGAUCGAACAGGAUUAGAUACCCUUGUAGUC
rnacentral:rRNA from 1 species